rnacentral:sRNA from 1 species
CCAUGCCAAUAACUGACGGACUUUGCUUAUACACUGGAAAAAAUACAUAUUAAAAUGGUUGACAUGCGUAGUAAAUAUUACUGAUUAAGAUAUCUUGAGGCGCAUGCAUAAUUUGCACUCGCAAUCAACGGCAGCUGCUGCCAUAAUGCCAAUGACUCGACUCCCGACCAUAUGACCUCCGACCCUCCGCCAAUCGACCCUGCGUCUAUCAUAGCCCCAAUACGCACAGGCACACCUCCGCCAACCCGAAUGCCACUGCCCCCGCCGCCACCAUCGAUUCAAAGUCAGCUGGUCCGAUCUGACAAUGCAAAAACUUGGCAUUGCAUAUUCAGGGGCCGAGCGCAUAAUUAAGCCGAGAACGUCCAAAAUACGCAAUUUCGAUUGGCCACAAAGUGCAGCGAACUGUUAUGGCCCCUUUGGCCAGGCCCGAAUAUCGCAAUCAUCGCUCCCAGCACCCCAUCAACCUCAUCAGCCGCAUCUUCAUUAUCAUUAUGGAUAUCGACAGCCGCAGCAUCGCCAAAGCAGAAGCAAUCGCCAUCGCAAAGCAAAAGCGGCCGCAGGCCAUAUGGACACGUGCUAAAUAGCACGUAAACUGCGUUGAUAAUUUGCAGUGCCGCACACAGAGGGCUUGCAAUGCCAAUUCCACAGAAAUUAAAGGGUACACGAGAGGCUGGAAUUCCGAGGUACUCAGUACUCCAAGCUAAUAGAUCAGAAAACACUACGAACUGGGAUGUUCUGGCAGGACUUUUCGGUAUUACCAGAUAAUAUAAUAAAAUUUGGUAAAUUAAUUCGGACUUGGGAUACCAUUUAGGGUCAGGCCAACAACUCCACUGAUUAUAAUGUUGACACCACUAAUCUACUCAGAAACAGGCUAUUCUUGGUUGGCCAGUGUUCGCUGUCAAUUGCCGUUUAAUGAUGAGUACCGCGUUAAUGAAGCGUGCCAUAACAUGCGAAAGAAGGACUCGCGGCAAGUGCAAUUAAAAAAUCAUCAGCAGAUGGAGAUCGCGUUGGUGGCCGGGGGUUGUAAAAGUUGCAAGGAGCCGCUGGCGAAAUUGUCGCGCUGAAUGGCAGACAUCCUCAUCCGGAUCCGCAAUCCACUUCCGCAUCCGCUUUGGAAAACGGCGAUGGCCAAAAAAGCGAACGGAAUUGCAAGUAACAAACGGAAACCGCAAAACGGACCGCAAUUGACGCACUCCCCCGAAGCCGCGGAUCCCAAAACUGUCGACCUCCAAGCAAAGUCAUACCCACACACUCACACACACUCACACAAAGGCAACACAACACUGGGCAAAAUCAAAAGCUAAACAAAACAAAGCGAAAGACAAUGACAACAAUUUUGCAUAGUUAUGCGAAUGUUGCUGGUUGUCCGUUGUCGGUUUUCCACUUUUGAGGGUGCCAAAAUGAGCGCUGGCGAAAGGAUGUGCGGCCAUUUAUAUACACAGAUAUAUAUACAUAAAUGUACAUAGCGCAUAUAUAUAUAUAUGUAUGUAUGUAUCCUUACCGCAGUCCCGAAUGUCCUGGCCGCCCACACAAAGUCAAAGCGAAAGCAAAAGCAAAAGCUGCUGCUGUUGUAGUUUUCAUAAUAACAAUAAAAACUUUUUUUGUACCAUUUUGCAGGAAAACUUGAAAUGAUUGUUAUGCAAUUGUUGGUAACACAAUUUUGUCGUUUUUGUCAACAGCAGCAGGAGCAGCAAGAGCAGCGCCAAUGGCAGCAGUCCAUGUCCUUUCCAGGACUCGCCGUCUAUGUGUGUUUAUGUUUACACUAUAAAUUCGCAUUAAGUAGCGCCAAAAGUUUUAUUGACUUCGUGUUCAUGGCGCUUGAUUUUCAUGCCAGAGUAUGCCAGUCGAAACAGAUAAACAAACAGUAAACUUUAAUUGCAAAAAUUUGUGGCGAAAAUUAAUGAAUGUACCCAGGAUUGGGGCGAUGUCCUUCCCACCACGCCCCCUCAAUCACUGUUAAUGUGUGUGUGUGUGUGGGUGAUGCUGUUGACACUACUGACCAAAAGUCAAAUUGCCAAAGUGUUUGCUUGCCAGCUGCAGCUGCAGCUGCAACUGCAUUUAAAGUCCUGCUAUCCAUUUUGGCCUGGCAACUGGGUGAUCCUCUUGGGGACUCUAUCCCAAUGGGGAUUGAUGGCCAAGUGGGCGGCGGGGUGCGUUUUAAAUGACUUGUUAAAUGUGUUUGAUUUUGGCCAAUGCCAAAAUGCCAAGGGGACACAUCUUGAUGUGAGUGCUGCGAAGGAGAAUUUAAGGCAGGCAGUUGUAUGUUUGUCCUAAAUCAGGGUAACAUCCCAAUAGAUUGAAAUGCAAAUGGUUGUUUCAAAACAUUUACCAAUGAAAUACAUUUAGUAUACAUACAUUUAGUGUAUCCUUACAUGAUUUUGAAGUCGUUAAGCAUUCGAAUUGAAACUUUGUUACGUGACUUUCUGCUGCCGAAAAGCAACCACAUCGAAUAAACAGCAAACAUUGCGAAAUCUA